GCGGGUUUUAUGUUGGUAGGUCGACUCAUUUUUAUUCUCCCGCACAAGCGGGUAGUUGGAAAUCCCUCUCCGCUACGGACGGGCGCGGGGCCUGCGGGGGGCUUGUGGGGGAAGGAGUGAGUCGACAGAGCGCAUCGAGUCAGCAUAAAAAGUGGUCGGCAGUUGGAUAGCUCAUCGGACGUGUCUAUUAUUUAGCGUACAGGGUCGCUAAGUUUACGGUUCCGCGUUCGGUUCGGUAAAGGACGCGUCUAUAGGGCG